AUCCUAGUAGCUCGGUGGUUGGAGUUUCGAGCCUCCAACUCUAAGGUACCAGGGUUCGAAUCCCGACAAUGACA